UACGUAGGGGGCAAGCGUUGUCCGGAAUCAUUGGGCGUAAAGCGCGUGUAGGCGGCUGAGUAAGUCUGCUCUGAAAGCCCGGGGCUCAACCCCGGGAGGCGGGUGGAUACUGCUCAGCUCGAGUCCGGAAGAGGAGUGUGGAAUUCCUGGUGUAGCGGUGAAAUACGUAGAUAUCUGGAGGAACACCGGCGGCGAAGGCGGCUCACUGGCCAUAUACUGACGCUGAAACACGAAAGCGUGGGUAGCAAACAGG
rnacentral:rRNA from 1 species